GAUGAACGCUAGCUACAGGCUUAACACAUGCAAGUCGAGGGGCAGCAUGGAAGAAGCUUGCUUCUUCUGAUGGCGACCGGCGCACGGGUGCGUAACGCGUAUCAAACCUGCCUCAUACUCGGGGAUAGCCUUGCGAAAGUAAGAUUAAUACCCGAUGUUGUUAUGUUACCGCAUGGUGACAUAACCAAAGAUUUAUCGGUAUGAGAUGGUGAUGCGUCCGAUUAGGUAGUAGGCGGGGUAACGGCCCACCUAGCCUUCGAUCGGUAGGGGUUCUGAGAGGAAGGUCCCCCACACUGGAACUGAGACACGGUCCAGACUCCUACGGGAGGCAGCAGUGAGGAAUAUUGGUCAAUGGACGAAAGUCUGAACCAGCCAAGUAGCGUGCAGGAUGACGGCCCUCUGGGUUGUAAACUGCUUUUAGUUGGGAAUAAAAAAGAGGACGUGUCCUCUAUUGUAUGACCUCAGAAAAAGACCGC
rnacentral:rRNA from 2 species